rnacentral:rRNA from 1 species
UACGUAGGGUCCGAGCGUUGUCCGGAAUUAUUGGGCGUAAAGAGCUCGUAGGCGGUUCGGCAAGUCGGAUGUGAAAAUCUCCACGCUUAACGUGGAGGGGGCCCAUUCGAAACUGCUGUGACUCGAGUCCGGUAGGGGGAGUGUGGAAUUCCCGGUGUAGCGGUGAAAUGCGCAGAUAUCGAGAAGAACGCUCUGGCGAAGGCGAAGUCCUGGGCAGAU